UAUUUCUAAUAAUUUAUAAUAAGAUCUACUAGCCAUUAAUAAUAAGCAAAUAAAGUAAUAAACCAUUUUUAAUUCAAUAAUAAAGCUAAAAGCUAAUAAGAGUAAUGAAAUUAGCAUAAUAGCAUCUCAAGUCUUAACACACUUUCACACAUUCACAAUAAACAAAAUCACAAAUUUAGACUUGUAAAAAAAAAAGGAAAACAGCAUAUGGCACAGGGUAA
rnacentral:misc_RNA from 1 species